UCCUUUCAUCAUGCUCGUUGAAAGCACCAGUUCUCAUCUGAUCACCGAAGUUAAGAAAUGUCAAGCCCAGUGAGUAAUUAGAUGGGUAACUGCUUGGGAAACUUACAUGCCGUAAGCA
rnacentral:rRNA from 1 species